GGAACGUGUCUAGCAGUUCCUUGACUCCAACUUUAUCCUCAACUAUUUGUUUCCUUCUGUAGGAGAAUGUCAUGUUCAUUUUAGUGUUGAUGUUGCUUAUAUCAAUGUCUGAAAUUGACUUUUUAUGUUCCCUUUUCAACCAGUUGUAUAUGGGCUUGCUAGGAUAUAGAUCUUCAGACACUGGUAAUGGUUGCAGAAAUCUUGCCAACCCCCAA
rnacentral:lncRNA from 1 species